UACGUAGGGUGCGAGCGUUAAUCGGAAUUACUGGGCGUAAAGCGUGCGCAGGCGGCUUUGCAAGACAGAUGUGAAAUCCCCGGGCUCAACCUGGGAACUGCAUUUGUGACUGCAAGGCUAGAGUACGGCAGAGGGGGAUGGAAUUCCGCGUGUAGCAGUGAAAUGCGUAGAUAUGCGGAGGAACACCAGUGGCGAAGGCGGCUUUCUGGGUCCGCCCUGACGCUGAGGCGCGAAAGCGUGGGGAGCGAACGGGAUUAGAAACCCUGGUAGU
rnacentral:rRNA from 1 species